rnacentral:misc_RNA from 1 species
GGUUGGAUCAUUACUGAUUACUCGACCUGGGGUGAGCUCUAUUCGAGAUCCCUCAGUGUCAUAAACACUUUGUGCACCUUUGUGUAUUUGGGUUGUUUUCGAAUGAGAGUUCGCAAGGACUUGAGUGAAAAGGCAACCCAACAGUGAAAACAAACCUUUAUUUUUUGACUGAAAUUCUAUAUAAAUAGAAACAACUUUUGACAACGGAUCUCUUGGCUCUCGCAACGAUGAAGAACGCAGCGAAAUGCGAUACGUAAUGUGAAUUGCUUUCCGUGAAUCAUCGAAUCUUUGAACGCACAUUGCACUCUACUCUGUAGAGUAUGCCUGUUUGAGAAUCUAUAGUAUUUCUUUUAGACUAUUUUUUGAAUAGCUCUAAAGAUAUGAGGUAAUCUCUAGUUUUCUAGAGUUCCUUUAAAUAGAUUAUCUGCGGUAGAGUUGAUGCUUGACGUCUCUCAAACAACAGAACAGUAUUUGAAUGGUUAAUUCAACCUCAAUGCCUAAUAAGUUGUCUGGAGAAAUAGUUGACAAAAUCGUAGGUCCAAAAACCAAAGAGUUUCGGCUCUGAACCUUGGUCUCAAAUCAGGUAGGAAGACCCGCUGAACUUAAGCAUAUCAAUAAGCGGAGGAAAAGAAACUAACAAGGAUUCCCCUAGUAACGGCGAGUGAAGCGGGAACAGCUCAAAUUUGAAAUCUCCUUCGGGCGAAUUGUAGUUUAGAGAAACGUUUUCUGGCCAGGCACUGGGUACAAGUUCUCUGGAACGUGACAUCAUAGAGGGUGAAAAUCCCGUCUUUGACCCAGUGUUCUGUUCAAUGUGAUACGUUUUCAAAGAGUCGGUUUGUUUGGGAAUGCAGACCAAAAUGGGUGGUAAAUACCAUCUAAAGCUAAAUAUUGGCGAGAGACCGAUAGCGAACAAGUACCGUGAGGGAAAGAUGAAAAGAACUUUGAAAAGAGAGUUAAACAGUACGUGAAAUUGUCAAAAGGGAAACGUUUGAAACCAGUAUUGUGAGCAGGAAUUCAGCUGUGGUUUACUGCAGUGUAUUUUUCUGUUUGCGAGUCAACAUCAGUUUGACUUGGAGCAAAAUGCUAUUGGAAGGUAGCCUUCGGGUAUUAUAGCCAAUAGUGAUACUCUAAGUUGGACUGAGGACUGCAGCUUCGGCUUAGGAUGUUGACGAAAUGGUUUUAAGCGACCCGUCUUGAAACACGGACCAAGGAGUCUAACAUAUAUGCGAGUAUUUGGGUGGCAAACCCUUAUGCGUAAUGAAAGUGAAAAGGUGGGAUCCCUUUGGGUGCACCAUCGACCGCGCCAGAUUAUUACUAUCUCGGCGUGAGUAUGAGCAUACAUGCUGGGACCCGAAAGAUGGUGAACUAUGCCUGAAUAGGGUGAAGCCAGAGGAAACUCUGGUGGAGGCUCGUAGGGGUUCUGACGUGCAAAUCGAUCUUCAAAUUUGGGUAUAGGGGCGAAAGACUAAUCGAACCAUCUAGUAGCUGGUUCCCUC